UAAGAUACAUUUUUUCUGAUAUCUAAAAGUGAUAAUUGGAGAUUUAUAGAAAUCAACAGUAAUCAUGUAAGAUAAAAAAAAUGUAAAGUG
rnacentral:pre_miRNA from 1 species